GACGAACGCUGGCGGCGUGCCUAAUACAUGCAAGUCGAACGAGAGCGACCGGUGCUUGCACUGGUCAAUCUAGUGGCGAACGGGUGAGUAACACGUGGGUAACCUGCCCAUCAGAGGGGGAUAACAUCCGGAAACGGAUGCUAAAACCGCAUAGGUCUUCGAGCCGCAUGGCUUGAAGAGGAAAAGAGGCGCAAGCUUCUGCUGAUGGAUGGACCCGCGGUGCAUUAGCUAGUUGGUGAGGUAACGGCUCACCAAGGCCGUGAUGCAUAGCCGACCUGAGAGGGUGAUCGGCCACAUUGGGACUGAGACACGGCCCAAACUCCUACGGGAGGCAGCAGUAGGGAAUCUUCCGCAAUGGACGCAAGUCUGACGGAGCAACGCCGCGUGAGUGAAGAAGGUUUUCGGACCGUAAAACUCUGUUGUUAGAGAAGAACAAGUGCUAGAGUAACUGUUAGCGCCUUGACGGUAGCUAACCAGAAAGCCACGGCUAACUACGUG
rnacentral:rRNA from 1 species